CGUUGCAGUCCAGCUCGCCUCGCUCAGGAAGAGACGGCACCCUCACCAGGAGCUGCAUGGUGCUCGCCGUGGACUCGAGGGCGUCGCGAACGCGGCCGGCUCCGUGGAUAAAACGAGACGGCUCUUCCCGCGAUCCGGGUCGGGUCCUGGGGCCCGCGCCGCGGCCUCUUUGCCCCUUUUAAGAAAUAGCCAUGCCUGGACACCCACACACCAUGAUGGCUCCAGCAAAGCAGCCCAGCAUGAGUUCUGACUCAGGGGUCUGACUUCCGCCACAGGUCCCUGGGAAGUCUUACAGAAGAGGGGCCAUCAUUAUUGCUUUAAGAUUAUUGCCAGGAGGAAGACUGCAGUCCUCUCCUGCCAGGAGAGGAGAGAAGGGAGCGAGACCAAGUGGCAGAGAAGGAACGACCCAGUAGCUCAUGCCCGGGAUUAGCAAGAAGGCCGAGGAGAACGCAGCAGGGGCCGGCGGACUACUUUUCCUCUCAAGCCCCACUGCGGGAG